UUGGACCACAAGCAGGUACCACCAUACCCCA
rnacentral:piRNA from 1 species